rnacentral:tRNA from 1 species
GCUCCCGUAGUUAAACUGGAUAUAACGGCGGAUUGCGAUUCCGCUGUUGUGGGUUCGAGACCUGCCGGGAGCA